CGGUGAACGAGUGACCGUCUUCUC
rnacentral:miRNA from 1 species